rnacentral:rRNA from 1 species
CCUACUGGUGGCAGCAGUGGGGAAUAUUGGGCAAUGGGCGCAAGCCUGACCCAGCAACGCCGCGUGAAGGAAGAAGGCUUUCGGGUUGUAAACUUCUUUUCUCAGGGACGAAGCAAGUGACGGUACCUGAGGAAUAAGCCACGGCUAACUACGUUCCAGCAGCCCCGUUAAUACGUCGGUGGCAAGCGUUAUCCGGAUUUCCUGGGUGUAAAGGGCGUGUAGGCGGGACUGCAAGUCAGAUGUGAAAACCACGGGCUCAACCUGUGGCCUGCAUGUGAAACUGUAGUUCUUGAGUACUGGAGAGGCAGACGGAAUUCCUGGUGUAGCGGUGACAUGCGUAGAUAUUAGGAGGAACACCAGUGGCGAAGGCGGUCUGCUGGACAGCAACUGACGCUGAGGCGCGAAAGCGUGGGGAGCAAACAGGAUUAGAUACCCGAGUAGUC